rnacentral:lncRNA from 1 species
AAGCACCCUGGGACUUGUAGUCUCGCCCCCGCCCGCCCGCCGGCCGUUGCCCCCUCAGCCCCCGGAGGCAGCGUCCUGCGACCAGCACCCCGCGGGUCAGUUGCCUUCGUGCUACCUGGGCUCCAAGUCCUCGCCCUGCCGGAUGAAGCAAUGGUCUAUUUCUUUACGGCAGUGUCUCAGAUCUUUUUAUAGGCCCUUGGAAAGUUCCCAGCCCAGUACCUGGCCAUUGUCCUAUGGAUAAAAUAGAACCACCUGUGUUUGGUGGGAGAAGGGCUGAGGGGGACCUCUCUGGACACUGCCCUCCCCAACCAGCAGCCAUGUAGAAAGAUGGCAAGAUGAAGUCACUCAGUGGCCUUGAGAGACCAAAAGGAUCACGAUAACAUUGGUGACUUCUCUGGACCAGCCAUAGCCCUCUCCCCUGGUUUUUCUUGCGUGCUGGGGGCCUCAAAAUGACUGAAAUUGGAAAUAUUAUUCAUUCAUUUAUUCAGUGUUUACUGAGCCAUAAAUCAAUACCACCCUUAACGAAAGCAAUUUGGCAUCAUCUGUUAAAAUGACAACUGCAAAUACCCUUUGAUUCAGCGAUUCCACU